AUCAGCUGGAUGACCUUUUGAGGUCCCUUCUAACAUGCAGCCCCUCUGAACCCCAAGGAACAAGGACUGGGGAACAGUGUGAAGGAAAUGUUGUUCGCACCUGUCCAGUCUGGGGCCCAACUGGUAAAAGACCCAUGCAGAAUCUGGGGACAAGGAUUAUAUCUAUGACCUUCUCCAAAUUUCUGUAUUUGACUUGAGAUGGCACAGUAGAUGGCAAUGAAAUCACUUAGCAAGCAGGCAGUGGAGACUGCAACCUGAGGGGUGGCCCCACAUCUACAGAUCUGCAAUGGAGGGAAGCCUGAGGAGGGGACAGAAGAUAAAACAGCUUCUUUAUACAGAACUUUUAAUAGAAAGAAGAGUGACAACACAGCGCUGUCAUGUCAACAAAAGAACACUUUGAUAGCCAG